UGCUGGUUCAUUUGCAUUUCAUCCUCUGCGUUUUCUGUGUUCCAGAGUCCAUGGCCCUGAUCUCUGAGUUUCAUGUUCAGGCCCUCGUCUCAGCCCAAAAUGAAGACUUUUUGUUAAAUCUCUGUGUCUGCAUUUGGGUCCACAUCCUCUCCUCUCUACACCGUCUGCCUCAUCGUGACAAUGGCUAACUCACACCCUUGGGUCAGACCAUAUCUACAAUGAAGGAACUUAAUAUAUUAUUUAUUACAGAGCGAGCAGAUCUGAGCUGGAUGGCAAACAUCAGAGACAAACCUAGUGGGUGAUGAAACACAAGGACACACACAAUGCGGCGUUGAGGAGGCAGGGUUGUGUGGUCUAGCGAGCUGUCUGAAAGAAAAGAAACUGGUGGAACUUGAGCACAUCCCUCGAAUGUUCCAGUCUCCUCGCAAUCCUUGGAAAAGUUUUUGGCGAAGUUGUAAAAGGAAGCAGAUGCCAGAUGUGCACGCCAUAUGCUGGGGGUCUUAAAUUAAGCCCUUUUCACUGGUUUGGUUUUUAUUCUUUUUUGAUGUGUAAAGUCUUGUAAAUGUUCCUCUCUAUUAGGUCACAGCAAUCAACUCGAAAUGAACUUGACUGUAGUUGGAUGAGACAAUACUGCAUGAAAUGAGUAGUAAUGUAGUUCAGUGUUAAUUCAAUACAACUAUUCAUGUUAAACUCAAACUCAUCAGUGAAAGAUUUCUAGCACUGGUUUGCUUAAUUCUGCCAAAAAAAAAGUAAAGAAAUAAAUCAGAGGCUGGAACUUUAUAGAUUAAAAACAAGAUUAUGGUGAGCGAGAAUCGACUGCUCAGAUUGGGUUCGAUUUAUAUCUACUGCUUGUCGUCAGAGGAGUAGGCCUGAAUCUACGCACGCGUGGAUGUUUUACAUCCCCUUCUGUCCACUGUGGCUCCUUCACUCGGGAUAAGGCAGGGCGAUAACAGUCUUGUAGGCAGUGGGGAAUAAUGCAAAAUCAAACAAAACAAAAACCCGCACAAAACGUCUGGCAACGCUGCCUGAAGCUCCUCUCCUUCUGCUCUCCGUAUCCCAAAAUGACUUCUGACCCUGUAGUCAGAGGUCAUUUGGGGUCAUCUUGGAGAAGGAACCUCUGACAGGCCCUUUACCAAAAUCUGGAAUGUAAAGCAUGUAAUGCAUCAUUGCUAAGAUCCUGAGAUUCAGUGUUAUCAGGCGUAAAACCGACCUAAGCAUUUAAUUGCAAUAUAAGGAUUGUCUUGUCAGUACAUUUGACUUAAAUGUGUUGCAGACUACUUUCUUUAUAAAGCAGAUUGUAGCGCUUUGAUUAUAUAUGAAUGUAUAUAAGAGUACAGAAAGAGAUGGAUAAUAAACAUUUUAAUUGUACUGGUGAAAAGUACAAAUAAAUCUUCAGGAUGUGUGAUUUCAAUUUCUGUGUCCACAGAGAGCCCGGGAUAUGAAAUAUGCUGCCUGUGUCUCUGCCCUGUGGGUCACAUUCAUCUGUUAAAGGAUGAAUUAUUUUUUUUCUCCUUCAUCUCUUUUGUUUGGGUCUGCACUCGGGAUAGGCUGACCACUAUUACAGCACACAGCCACAGCUCAGUUGACCCUGAAAGAGCGAGCUUCACCUCACUAUGGCUUUGCGGUCAACCCAUUUUCGACCCGAGUGUUACAGCCUGCCUAAUGCUGCGCUCAUGAACCAAAACAAUUCCACUUAAUUCGUUUCUUUCAUAGUUGAAAAAACUUGUACGGCUUAAUGUCGCUGCAAGGUCGGAUAAUAAAAAUCAGAACAGAAGACCUUCAACAAGAUCGAGGCAGCUUCAAUCAAGAAGCUUUCGAUGGCAGCCGUUCACUCUAUAACUUUUGUAUUUUCUUGACUGGUAAUCCUGUUGGAAAACGUGCCGGCCAUAUAGCUGCUCAGAGCUCUGGUUCCACACCUACCCCAUUCCCAUCCAUGACGUCCUGCAGCCUGCUCUAUGUGCCACCGUGCCGUUGAGACUCACUCGGUCACAAUCUCGACAGCUCCCAUCUAAACAAUGCUGUCGUCAUUUGUCAAACCCCCCCCCCCCCCCCGACCCCCUAUCCGUCUCUUCUCCCUGCAUGUGCGGGAGGAGCAGAGUGGGGCUGAUGCUGAGGUGUGAUAGGUCCCUGUCAUGGCCUGUGCAUUUGGGCGCACGCGCGUAGGCACGCGCACAGCUUGUGCGGUUGAUGGAGAUGGAUGCCCUGUGCAUUUGAGCAUUCAGAGAGAGUGAGUGUGUGUGACAGACAGUCAAUCAGCCUGUGAUGAGAGGUAAUCGCACAGUGGACAGAUCAAUUAGUUAUUUUCUCAGGAGGCAAACAGAAGAAAAACACCACUGUUCUCCAGGUAAGUGAUUUGCAUUUCACUCCUCUUUCAUCUCUCUCAUCCUUCUUGUAUAUUUAUCUUUCUGUUUUCUCCCGUCUCCCCCAUUCCUCCCUUCUGUGUGCCUCCUUCAGUACCUCUCCACUCUGAAUUUGGCUGUUUGGAUGUUUAUCUCUGCUCAUUUCUCCUCCUGCCCCUCUCAUAGGGAGGGAGGUGGAGAUCCAGCUGAUCAAGGCUGAGUAAUGGUGUAUGAGCUCAGCCCUGUGAGCGAUGAGAGCUCCACUUGGCUGGAUCAUUUAUACCGGGCCUUGCAGAGAACAAACAUGUAUCUCAAAGCCAUCAGAGACACUCCAAGGCUGGACUAAGUGUGAUUACAGACAACUAAACUGCAAGAACAAGCUUUGACUACCUGAAGUGCAAAACUCAACUUUUCUCCUGCUUCACUUUUUUGAUGAGAGCGAGCUUGAAACAUGUGACGUUACAUGGAUGAAAACUCAUGCACUUAAAAAGCUCAGUUUUCUUAUGUUCUCUUGUUUUUUGGCUGCUCAUUCAGCCAGUGUCAGCUCACAUCAGCAGCUUGAAUUGUUGGAUUUAGAAUUGCUGCAUGUAGGUCAUGUCUUGUUUUGUUUUUUGGGGUUUUUUUGUGUGUUUACUAGCUGUAGCAGCGGACAUUCCCUGAGGUUGCAGAAAUGUGGUACAGUCUCAGAUCUUGCUGGAGAUCGCUCCGUCCUUCACACCCACUUAGAGUCAGAUUCAGUCAGUCCUUGUCAGAGUAAUUUUAUGCAACAUUUUUUAUUUACUGGGGUACCGCUCUGCUGAGUAUCACAAAAAACAAAGUUAAAAACAUAAACUUUUUUGUUUAGAAAGUGAUGCAACCACUGCUGCCCUUCUCUUUGUGUCCAUGCUCACAUUAAAACCUUGUUGUAUGCACAUAUUCAUACAUACAUACAGCCAAUAGCUUUUCACGAGUACAAAGAAAACUGUUCUGUCUCAUUUCACAGUUAACUACCACACAUCAGUCUAUGUCCUCUUGCGUCAGCUGGCGUCGCUCAGACAUCUUCAGUCCUUCGGGGCUGGUCCAGCAUGCUCCAUUCCUGUUUCCAGUCCUUCUUCUUCUUCUGUGUGCUGACAGGACCACCUGGUGCUGCUGCUGGUUGCCAGAUUUUGGAUUAUCCUGCAUAACAAUGGGCUAAAGGACUGUUUGGAUCAGUUCCACUCUCGAGCUGCCAGGGACCGCUCUGCCUCUUGCUCUUCAGUGACAGUGGCUGUCCUCCCUACCGUGCACACAUGGAUGCAUGGCCACCGUGGGAUGAUACCCCCCACCCCCUACCCCACCGCCAUCAUCCACCCAACCACACACGCACAUACACAUAAACACACACACACAUUCAAAAGGUUAAUUAAUGUGUCCAUGUGUUUAUGGCCAUCCAGCAGUCUACAAGGGAGUCUGUGAGAGAUUUGUGUACACAUAAAAAAUAUGCACUAACGUUGCUAAGCUCACACAUGACACCAUUUGCACACUUGACAAGAGCGCUGAGAGACACAGGUGAUUUCAUGCGAUAGAAAUAAUAAAAUGAAAAAAAAAAGCUGGCAAUAAAACCUGUCCUAAAAUAAUAAAAGCCUAAUUUCACUACUGUGUUGUCUAAAUAAGUGAAUGCAAAUAUGCCUGUGACUGUUUCUGUGCAAAUAUGGGUGCUGUUUUUGUAUAAAAAAUUAAACAAACUGGAUUUGA
ensembl:lncRNA